UACAGAGGCCUCGAGCGUUGUUCGGAAUUACUGGGCGUAAAGGGAAUGUAGGUGGUGACGUAAGUCAGAUGUGAAAGCCCUGGGCUUAACCCGGGAAGUGCAUUUGAUACUGCGUCGCUUGAGUGCAGUAGAGGAAAGUGGAAUUCCCAGUGUAGGGGUGAAAUCCGUAGAUAUUGGGAGGAAUACCAAUGGCGAAGGCAGCUUUCUGGCCUGUAACUGACACUGAGAUUCGAAAGCAUGGGUAGCAAACAGG
rnacentral:rRNA from 1 species